AAUUUUGUACUUUUGUUUUUAGCUUGCUCAGUGUAGUGAUAAAACAGAAAAAUGAAUCAAAUUUAUGCUAUUAUGUGUUUUGUUUUCCCUUCUAGUAUAUACAUCAUCAAAAACUACCUCAUUUAUCAAAAUUGCAGUACCCUAGCUGGAGAUAUAUGCCAUCAAAGUUGGAUAUACAAAUAAAGUGAAAAAAUGUCUUGUCCGUAGACAUGCAUUCCCUAGUAAACU
rnacentral:lncRNA from 1 species